CAUAUUAGUGUUGAUGAGGAACAAGUUAGUGUGGAUAUUUAUGACCCAAGCAAUUCGGGUAAUCUUGAUAACAAAGUGAGGGACAUAUUAGUGGAAAAGGGGCCUAAAAUGAAAGAAGAAAACAAUAAAUAUCCUUUGGAUGAAAAUUCAAGACAUUUUUCAUAUAGCCAUUACUCCAGAAAGAUGAGCAAUGGAGAGGUGCGUGAUAGAAAUGGUUAG
rnacentral:rRNA from 1 species